GGUAGACCCCUCCAGUUCUAAAGUGCUCCACAGCUGAGCCGAGUGUGCCCGCCGUCCCGUCCGCACCUCGAUACCUCCAGGGUGAAAAUUGGCAAAUUCAAGCCCAACCUGGGCAUUUUACUGACUCAACGAGAUCCUGCCAUAAGAUAAAUUUUAUGGGUGAAAUUUUAAGGGCAGGUGAAGUUGCACAGUGCAGAGACCGUAGGUUCAAUCACCAUUAUUGCAGGAGAAGGAGAUCGAAAUCCUUCCAGUUAAAAAGCAGACUGCUGAAAGUGGGUCUCAUUGUGUUACCCAGGCUGGCCUCUAACUCCUGGUUUCGAGGGAUUCUCCUGUCACAGCCUCCUGAAUUUCCCACUGCCGAGAUUACAGGUGCACACCACCGCGCCCCCCUCGCCUGUGUACUUCACCUCCUUUGGUCCUGGGAAUGGAACUUUGCACCUUCUACAGGCCAUGCAAUCUGCCACCACUGAGCUAUGCUCCCAGCCCCUACCCAGGCAAACUUCAAGAGGUGCCUUUGUAGCCUUAGAGCCUCAGUUUCUGCACCAGUAAUGCAGGAUUCCUUACCCUAUUACCUAAAAAAAGAAAUGAUAGGCGGGAUCAGUGCAUUGUGUGAGGUGUCACACUGUGCAGGGUGUCACCGUGAGCAUAAGUGCUAUGAGGCAAAUAUUACUCUUAAGAAAUGCAAUAAAAUAAGCCAGGCGUGGUGGUGCACACCUGUAAACCCAGCGCUUGGGUAGCCUGAGACAAGAGGAUCGAUGCAAGUUUCAGGCCAUCUGGGGCUGCGUGGUGCUUUUCACCACUUGAUGGUAUGCUGAUACUUUCACAACUCAGUAACCUCUGCAACCAUAAUCAUAUAAAAUCAUAAAAAUAUCCCACUUAAGCUUAUGAAUGUUUAAACAGAUAUUCCACCUUUUAAAAAAUCUGACACAGUUAACACAUGGAAGAUUUUUUAAAAGUAGAAUACACUUCAAGAAGAUGAGCUGAAAAAUUAGUCAUAGUAGGAAAACGGCCCUCUAACUCCCUGAUGUGCAUUCUAAAGACUCGAGUCUGGAAAGUCACCCCUGUACAGUGAUAAAAAUACCUGGUGCCUGCCACAAGUAAAAAGCAGUCUAAUAUAAUUGUUGUUUCUGUAAAGAAAUAUGCAAAUAAGCCCUGAUUGCUUCUUAUUUCAAAGUUCUAUUUAGGGCUGGCACUCUUUUCCAAUUCAAUGACCCGUCCUCUUCAGGACACAAACAAAUGCUGUAAAUUGGAAUGACACUUGGAAAAAUUUCUUCUUUUUUAUUUUAUUACUUUCCUUUGUUUGACAUGUUUGUAGCCUCUAUGUUAAUUUAUUUGUUUUUUGUUUUGUUUUUUGAAGACCUCACUAUGUUGCCUAGGCUGGGUUCUAACUCCUAGUCUCAAGGGAUCCUCCUGUCUCAGCCUUCUGAAUUUCCCACUGCCAGGAUUACAGGCGCACACCAACCUGCUCCACUUGCUUGUGCACUUCACCCUUUUCAGAAUUGGGGAUGGAACUUUGCAUGGGCCAUGCAAUCUACAACCACUGAGCUAUGCUCCCAGCCCCUACCCUGACUACCUGUGUAGCCCAAAAUGCCCUUGAAUUCGUGGUGAUCUUCUUGCCUCAGCCUCCAGUGUGCUGGGAUUACAGGAAUAUGCCACCACACCCAGCUGUCAGAACAUUUUUAGGCAUGUACAGUGUCUUAGAAUAACAGCAAUUUUCUGGGACAGCUUGAAGAGUUUCUACUAAUGAACACAUUUUCAAAAAGGAAAUUCAAGACUUGCCAGUCAGUUUUUUUCUGGUGUGGAUCAGGCUGAUCAUUCCAGUAAACCUUGAGGAUUCAGAGUAACUCUCCGCCCCUCAAACCAGCCCCAAGAAGGGAGACAGACUGUUAUGUCCAUCCACCGCUAUGAAAAAGGCAAGAGCAACUGUUGACAAGUAUCAAAUGCUUUGUGUCUUCUAGAAUUCAUGUGUUUUGAAUGCUCUGUAGAAUGGCAUUCCAAAAAUGACUGCUGUUAGGGUUUCUGUCGAGAUUUCCAGUCUCAUGCAGGGAUGUGCUCAUAGGCAGGGGCUCUGGGAGAUGACUAGAUCCUGGGGGCCUGAUAUUCACCCAUGCAUCAGUCCACUGAUGGGCAUAUAGCAGGCUGUGGUGCUGGGAGGCAAAGCCUGGUGGAAGAGGGGGUUUCUGGAGGCAUAACAGGAAGGGUUUUCUCUCUUCUCCCUUGACCCUUCUCUCUGCUUCCCACUACCGCUCCAUGAGCUGCUUCUCCUCUACCAUGUACCACCCUGCCUUGGAGCCGGCUGAUCAUGGACUGAAAGCUCUAUAAACUGAGCUAAAUAAACCUUUCCCCUUUUAACAUUGGGUGUGGGAUACUUUGUCUCAACAAUGAGAGAGAAGUAACUUUCAUGAAGAGAAGUAACUGUUGGUGAAUUUAAAUCCAGCUAAAUUGCAUCAGUAUGGUGCUGAGCAUGGAUGGCUCACCUGAGGACAGUUGCCAGCAUAAAAAGAUGUGGCAAGAAAGAGAGAGAUGUUGUGAGUUUUCCUAAGUGUUGUUGUUCGGAGCUGUUGGUUCUCCUGGAGGAGCUUGUCAUGCUGGCCUCCCUGAUAGGAACUCAGCUGUUAUCAUCUCAGGAGCUCAGGACCUGUUGCUGAGGAUGGCUGUGGUACUUUUUGGGGGAGCCCUGGUCCUUAUUUUGAGCAUUGUUUCUUGGCUCCAGUGUAGAACCCUCAAUGUACUGGCACAGAUCCUUCACCCGACUAGGGUAGAGUUUUUUAGCGUCUGCCACUGACCUUUGGGCCUUACCAGCACAGAUCUGUAAAACACACUUGUAUGAGUCCUUGUCGUGGGCUCUAGGCUUCCAGCUGGACUCAUGGGAGGCACUGUCAUGGGCUCUAGGUCUUCAGUGGGACUCAUAAAGGAUAUUGCUGUGGGAUUCAGGCCCUUGGCUAGAUUUUCUAGGUCUUUAGCAUUGUGGACAGAUUUCCGGAACUUUGUUGUGCUUAACUCUGGUUGACCAUCAUAAAAUAGCAUUAUAAAUUCUGUGUCCUGUAUAUAAUGGUUCUCCUUACAACCCCUGACUACAAUAGUAACAAACACAGAAUUUGGUACCAGAGAAAUGGGGUCAUUUCUGUGACUGUAUCUGACCAUGUGGUCCAAGAGCCUUUGAAAAUGUCUUAUGGGAGGAGUUGGGAAAGGUUCAAAGAUGUCACCUGAAAGUAUAAAGUAAAACCCUUAGAUUGUUCUGUAUGAGAGAUUCUGGUCAGAGCUCAGAAAACCAGUAAACACCAGGCUCAGAAGGUUUCUGCUGAGAAGGACUGCAUUGGCUGUUGGAGUCCAGACAAUGUGUGUUAUGGCUUAGCAGAAAGGUUCUGCAUUUUGCAUGUGUCCAGAGAUUAAGGUGAGUGGUAUAAUUAAACUGGUAGAAGAAAUUUCAAGGCUGUCUAAUAUUGAGGCUGUGGCAUGAUUGCUGUUGGGGGUUUUUAGCCAGAUUUUGUGUUGAGAAUCAAGAGCAAAAAGCCCAGCAGAUGAUUCAGAACAUUGUGUUGGGGCUGGGGAUUUAGCUCAGCGGCAUAAGACCUGCCUUGCAAGCAGGCAGUCAUGAGUUCGAUCCCUGGUACCUAUAAAAAGGAAAAAACAAAAAAAGAACAUUGUAAAUUUGGCCAGAAAAGAAGCUCUAGCAAAGAUGUGGACUGCAAAAUUAGAGCAGAGGAGAUCAUGAUUGCUGAAAAGGAACAGGAGAAUAGGACAGAUGGCCUGAAGGCAUCACAAAAAUCUACAGGACUCUAUCCUUUGUAGCCUUAAAACUGCAAAAGUGAGACUGCUUUGAGAAAAAAGCCCUAGAGCACCAUAUUCCAGAAUGGUUGCAGCACAGAGAAUUUGUUCCCCAGAAUUAGAUUCAGAGUGCUCAGUGAUCCAGGUGCUUGACCCCUACAGCUAAUAUAAAAAGAAGCUUGGCUACUACUCCAGUUGGUAGCAGACCUUGGCAUUAUCCACAUGGCACAAGCUGAAGGUUUCCACCCAGAUUUCAGAAGGCCUGGGAGACAGGGAGUGUGCCCCUAAGAGGGCAGUGUGUGAAGCUGUGAGUGUGAAGCCAAAUGUGCACUGGAGACCCUAAAAGUUUAGAGAAGCCAGGAACAUGGAUUUUCUGAGGAAAAGUGAAAGGAAGGAGCUGAGUGGGCCCAACACAGAAGCCAUGGGAGUUACAGUCACAGCAGCCUUAGUGGUGGAGCCAUCUGAGCCCUUUGGAGCUCACAAUUUGCUAUGGAUUGUCUUUGAUGCUGCAUAUGGAACCACAGGACAUCGCAUUUGCCCUGCUGGAAUUUGGACUUGCUUUGGUCCCAUUCAUUUGUACGCCACUGUUUGUAAUGUCUAUCUUGUGCUAUUGAAUGCCAGAAGUGUUUAACUUUCUUUUCAUUUCAUUUGCACAGGGUCUCACAGCUAAGAGCUUACCUUAAAUCUCAGAGACUUGGGACUUGGGCCCUUCUGCAAUGCUGAAACUAUUAGGACUUCACCAACUCUUAGAAAUAGACUACAUGCAGAAAGGAAUUUAUAUGAGUCUUUGCGGGGCCAGCGGUGGAAUGUAUAUGGUGAGCAAGAGAACACCGCAGAAUGAUGCCCUGUGGCCUCCUGGCUGGACUGCGGGCAGCAGACUGGCUUCAUCAUGGUCCCAUCUUGGUUCUGAAGAGCUCACAGGGAGCCUGGCCUGAGGAUCCCAGGACAUGUGGAGAAGUCACACAUUCAGGCCUGCAGGAGAGAGAAAUCCCAUUGGUCCAUCUUGAGCCUCACCUGGGCCACAGCCAAAAGCCACCAUCCAACACUGAAGACCAGGCUACAGCUGUGACCUCCCAUUCUGAGCUGAGAAGCUGCUCACCAAGCAGCCACCCCUAGCUAAUGGUUAAUCAUUCUGUGUGUAGUAUCAUGUUAAUUCUGCAUUUCCUGGUUCUUAGAUCUCUUGAAGGCCUGGCUAGUGUGGGGAGAUGGCCCCGCCCAGGCCUGGCCAGUACAGAAAGCCAGUGAAGGACUGGCCUGCAAAGGUCCCCUUGUGUGCCAGCCGCCCCAGGCCCCUCCUCUAUCAGGCUGUCCCCGCCCUAUUCACCAAGCAUGGCCCCCAGGUCCUGGAGCCCACUGCAAUCACUCUACUGAGUCAGUCCUACGCCUGCUCGGCCUGCCUCACCCAUCCGUCCCAGGGAAAUGUCAGUAAGACUGUCUGUGCUCUCACCCUGCUGGGCUUUUGACCAGCCCUGGAGCUUAUGGGGGUCCCUGUAUGGCCUGCUGUGUCCCCUAGACCUGCAGUCCAACCAUUUGGCCAGGGACCAGUUCCAUGGAAGACAGUUUGCCGGGGGUGGGAUUGGGGGUUGGGAGGAUAAUUUUGAGCUUAGAUUCGCACGAGAAUCCCACAACCUACAUUCCUGGCCUGGCAGCUACCAGCACAUUUUGAGCUCCUAUGAGAAUCAAACUCCAAUGCUGAUCCAACGACACAGAUAGGGCUCAGGUGGUGAUGGGAGUCCAGGAACAACUGCAAGUGCACACAGCUCGCAUUGCUGGCCUCCUGCCGUGUGGCCUGGACCCUCGAGGGCCCCAGACCUGUUCCAGGCCCUGGUCCAGAGCAUGAAGAAUCCCUCUACCUGGGCUUCCCAGGUGUCCCUGGUUUCACUGGUUUCUGGGACCCAUGUGUAUAAUAAGCUUCUUCCUUCAUGAUUUUUCACUUCUGGCUCAUUUCACCACACCCAGUUAAACAAAUGCUAGGCAUGCUUUAAGAUAAAGAUUGUAUCCAUCCCAAGGGUACCAGGUACCAGACGGUUCUCAGGGACAACUCCUUUCCUGCACCCUGUCCAGGAUAACCCCUGCUUGGUUUCCCAUGGAUCUUUCUAGGGUUUCUUUACCUUUAAGCAAACAGAAAUAUUUUCUCUCUCUACACGGAAAGGGCAGCACAAUAUACCAACUGCAAUGCUUUCAAUCCUGUGGCUUCUACUGGUGUCAUUGUUCCUAUUCUCAAGGUCUUUUUUAUUUUUUUAAGACAAGGUCUCACCAUGUAGUUGAAGCUGCCUUCACAGUGACCUCUUGCCUGGCUGGCCUGGAACUCAUGGUGACUCUCCUGCCUCAGCCUUCCAAGCGCUGGGAUUACAAAUGUAUGCCACCUUGCCUGGCUUCACACCAUAUUUAAAUCAACAUACACUUGACUCAGGUUCUGUUUGGAGUGCUUCUUGGCAUUUUAAGUAUGGCUUAGAGUAUCUUGAAAGCUUGGAAAAAGAGUAAAAAUUCAAAGCAGAAGUUUAUUCGGACCUAAUAU